rnacentral:rRNA from 1 species
UACAGAGGGGGGCAAGCGUUAUUCGGAAUUAUUGGGCGUAAAGGGCGCGUAGGCGGCUUGGCAAGUGGAUGGUGAAAUCCCUCGGCUUAACCGAGGAACUGCCGUCCAAACUGCUUCGCUUGAGACCGGGGAGAGGUGAGUGGAAUUCCCAGUGUAGCGGUGAAAUGCGUAGAUAUUGGGAGGAACACCAGUGGCGAAGGCGGCUCACUGGACCGGUACUGACGCUGAUGCGCGGAAAGCGUGGGGAGCAAACGGG